GACGAACGCUGGCGGCGUGCUUAACACAUGCAAGUCGAACGGAAAGGCCCUGCUUUUGUGGGGUGCUCGAGUGGCGAACGGGUGAGUAACACGUGAGUAACCUGCCCUUGACUUUGGGAUAACUUCAGGAAACUGGGACUAAUACCGGAUAGGAGCUCCUGCUGCAUGGUGGGGGUUGGAAAGUUUCGGCGGUUGGGGAUGGACUCGCGGCUUAUCAGCUUGUUGGUGGGGUAGUGGCUUACCAAGGCUUUGACGGGUAGCCGGCCUGAGAGGGUGACCGGCCACAUUGGGACUGAGAUACGGCCCAGACUCCUACGGGAGGCAGCAGUGGGGAAUAUUGCACAAUGGGCGGAAGCCUGAUGCAGCAACGCCGCGUGCGGGAUGACGGCCUUCGGGUUGUAAACCGCUUUCGCCUGUGACGAAGAGUGAGUGACGGUAAUGGGUAAAGAAGCACCGGCUAACUACGUG
rnacentral:rRNA from 1 species